AUGCUUACCAUGCAAGUCGAACGAGACGGGAUGGAAUGACCCUUCGGGGGAAUGAAAUCCUAGAAAGUGGCGAACGGGUGAGUAACGCGUGGGUAACCUGCCCUAUGGAAAGGAAUAGCCUCGGGAAACUGGGAGUAAUGCCUUAUAAUAUACGAGAGUCGCAUGGCUUUUGUAUUAAACGCUCCGGUGCCAUAGGAUGGACCCGCGUCCCAUUAGCUAGUUGGUGAGAUAACAGCCCACCAAGGCAACGAUGGGUAACCGGUCUGAGAGGGCGAACGGUCACACUGGAACUGAGACACGGUCCAGACUCCUACGGGAGGCAGCAGUGGGGAAUAUUGCGCAAUGGGGGCAACCCUGACGCAGCAAUACCGCGUGAGUGAAGAAGGUUUUCGGAUCGUAAAGCUCUGUUAUUGGGGAAGAAAAAAGACGGUACCCAAGAAGAAAGUCCCGGCUAACUACGUGCCAGCAGCCGCGGUAAUACGUAGGGGACAAGCGUUGUCCGGAUUUACUGGGCGUAAAGGGCACGCAGGCGGUUUUUUAAGUCAGAUGUGAAAGGUACCGGCUCAACCGGUGACAUGCAUUUGAAACUGAAAGA
rnacentral:rRNA from 1 species